GAAAUUUGUUUAAAAAUUACGAGAAGAAAAAAGAUAAGAAAGAAAGAAACUCAGAAUGAGCAGAGCUGCUGUAACAGGCUGCCGCACGCGUGAGGGCGCCGGAAGCUACACCUGUAAAGCACUCUGAAGCUGGGAGCAAAGCAUGACCGCACCAUCUGUAUCAGAAAUGCAGGAGAAGCAGAAAGACAACAAGACAGGUUUUACUUCAAAACAUGUUUUCUAAGAGGGAAAUCAGCACCUGCAGGACUGGUGAUAUGUUCCCUGUCCACAGGAUACUCAUCCAGGCUUCAUUUACACUGUAGAUGAAAUGAUGGCGUCCCGCUGACUGAUGACUGGCUGCACGCUCUGGUUGGGGACAAAGUGAAGCCAGCAGAAUGAAGAACCAAUGGUGGCUGAAACUGAACCUUUUUAUGCCCACGUAUGUUUGAUUAAAGAUGAUUAAAAGUGUUUGUAAUAAGUAGUGAUUUAUUUAUUCAUAUAAAUAUUCUACUUGUAGUUGUAAGAUAAGUAAUUUAUCAACUAAUUAUAGAAAACACAAACCUUAUC